rnacentral:rRNA from 1 species
GGACUACUAGGGUUUCUAAUCCUGUUUGCUCCCCACGCUUUCGUGCAUGAGCGUCAGUGCAGGCCCAGGGGAUUGCCUUCGCCAUCGGUGUUCCUCCGCAUAUCUACGCAUUUCACUGCUACACGCGGAAUUCCAUCCCCCUCUGCCGCACUCCAGCCAUGCAGUCACAAAUGCAGUUCCCAGGUUAAGCCCGGGGAUUUCACAUCUGUCUUGCAAAGCCGCCUGCGCACGCUUUACGCCCAGUAAUUCCGAUUAACGCUCGCACCCUACGUAUUACCGCGGCUGCUGGCAC